GAAAAGCAAUGGAUUAAUACCUGGUACACUGAUCACCUAAAAAUUCCACCGGAAAGAAUGACUUUUCUGUCUCAUUCCUAAGGAUGAAAUCUGAAGAGGGUCAGUGUUCCAACACCCAGCCAAAGAAGGGCAGAAAGCAGAGAACUCCCAAGGAAUGCACUGCAGGCCAGGACAGUUUCAAAAAGAAUGCCAUGGGCUGGGGACUGCAGCUGCUCACCUGUGGAGUGAAACACUGACUGCUGGAGAUUAAAGACUGUUGACAACCAGCUCACCUCUGUCGGAAUUGCCUUUAAAGUCCCUUCCUCUGAUCUCAUGUUUAUGUUUAAAAGUUUGAUUGUUGUUGGUUUCAGGUUUUUUUGCCUUACUAUAAAAAUACUCUGCACCCAAAGUAAAGUACACCUUGAUAAAG